AUAAGCAAUUAUACAGCGAAACUGCGAAUGGCUCAUUAUAUAAGUUAUCGUUUAUUUGAUAGUACCUUACUACUUGGAUAACCGUGGUAAUUCUAGAGCUAAUACAUGCUAAAAAUCCCGACUUACGAAGGGAUGUAUUUAUUAGAUUAAAAACCAAUGCCCUUCGGGGCUCACUGGUGAUUCAUAAUAACUUCUCGAAUCGCAUGGCCUUGCGCCGGCGAUGGUUCAUUCAAAUUUCUUCCCUAUCAACUUUCGAUGCUAGAGUAGUGUUCUAGCAUGGUUACAACGGGUAACGGAGGGUUAGGGCUCGACCCCGGAGAAGGAGCCUGAGAAACGGCUACUACAUCCAAGGAAGGCAGCAGGCGCGCAAAUUACCCAAUCCCGACACGGGGAGGUAGUGACGAUAAAUACUGAUACAGGGCUCUUUUGGGUCUUGUAAUUGGAAUGAGUACAAUUUAAAUCCCUUAACGAGGAACAAUUGGAGGGCAAGUCUGGUGCCAGCAGCCGCGGUAAUUCCAGCUCCAAUAGCGUAUAUUAAAGUUGUUGUGGUUAAAAAGCUCGUAGUAGAACCUUGGGCCUGGCUGGCCGGUCCGCCUCACCGCGUGCACUGGUCCGGCCGGGCCUUUCCCCCUGUGGAACCUCAUGCCCUUCACUGGGUGUGUGGGAAAACAGGACUUUUACUUUGAAAAAAUUAGAGUGCUCCAGGCAGGCCUAUGCUCGAAUACAUUAG
rnacentral:rRNA from 1 species